rnacentral:tRNA from 1 species
CAGAUAUUAGUUUAAUUUAAAAAUUUUAAUUUUGGAGAUUAAAGAUAAUUUUUAUUAUAUCUGA